rnacentral:rRNA from 1 species
AUCAACUUUCGAUGGUAGGAUAGAGGCCUACCAUGGUGGUAACGGGUAACGGGGUGUUAGGGCACGACACCGGAGAGGGAGCCUGAGAAACGGCUACCACAUCCAAGGAUGGCAGCAGGCGCGCAAAUUACCCAAUCCCGACACGGGGAGGUAGUGACAAUAAAUAACAAUACGGGGUUCUUUCGGAUUUCGUAAUUGGAAUGAGUACAAUUUAAAUCUCUUAACGAGGAACAAUUGGAGGGCAAGUCUGGUGCCAGCAGCCGCGGUAAUUCCAGCUCCAAUAGCGUAUAUUAAAGUUGUUGCAGUUAAAAAGCUCGUAGUUGAAUUUCGGGAUCGACGGGUCGGUCGCGCCUCUGGUGUGUACUGGCCCUGUCGGUUCCUCCCUUCUGACGAACCACGAUGUCAUUAAUUUGGUGUCGUGGGAAAUCAGGACUGUUACUUUGAAAAAAUUAGAGUGUUUAAAGCAAGCAUUCGCUUGAAUACAUUAGCAUGGAAUAAUGAAAUAGGACGUUUGAUCUUAUUUUGUUGGUUUCUAAGAUCGACGUAAUGAUUAAUAGGGAUAGUUGGGGGCAUUAGUAUUCAAUUGUCAGAGGUGAAAUUCUUGGAUUUAUUGAAGACUAACUACUGCGAAAGCAUUUGCCAAGGAUGUUUUCAUUAAUCAAGAACGAAAGUUAGGGGAUCGAAGACGAUCAGAUACCGUCGUAGUCUUAACCAUAAACUAUGCCGACUAGGGAUCGGAUGAUGUUAAUUUUUUAAUGACUCAUUCGGCGCCUUACGGGAAACCAAAGUGUUUGGGUUC